CUACGGGCGCAGCAGUGAGGAAUAUUGCACAAUGGAGGAAACUCUGAUGCAGCAACGCCGCGUGGAGGAUGACGCAUUUCGGUGUGUAAACUCCUUUUAUAUGUCAAGAAAAUGACGGUAGCAUAUGAAUAAGCACCGGCUAACUCCGUGCCAGCAGCCGCGGUAAUACGGAGGGUGCAAGCGUUACUCGGAAUCACUGGGCGUAAAGGACGCGUAGGCGGGAUAUCAAGUCAGGUGUGAAAUCCUACAGCUUAACUGUAGAACUGCACUUGAAACUGGUAACCUAGAGUAUGGGGGGGGAGAUGGAAUUAGUGGUGUAGGGGUAAAAUCCGUAGAUAUCACUAGGAAUACCUAAAGCGAAGGCGAUCUCCUGGAACAUAACUGACGCUAAGGCGUGAAAGCGUGGGGAGCAAACAGGAUUAGAUACCCCCGUAGUC
rnacentral:rRNA from 1 species